GCGCCGGUAGCUCAGGGGACAGAGCGGCGGCCUUCUAAGCCGCGGGUCGGGGGUUCGAAUCCCUCCCGGCGCGCCC
rnacentral:tRNA from 1 species